GCAUAUCAAUAAGCGAGAAAAGAAAACAACAGAGGAUUGCCCCAGUAAACGGCGAGUGAAGCGGCAAGAGCUCAAAUUUGAAAGCUGGCUCCUUCGGGGUCCGCAUUGUAAUUUGCAGAGGAUGCUUCGGGAGCGGUCCCCAUCUAAGUGCCCUGGAACGGGACGUCAUAGAGGGUGAGAAUCCCGUAUGGGAUGGGGUGUCCGCGCCCGUGUGAAGCUCCUUCGACGAGUCGAGUUGUUUGGGAAUGCAGCUCUAAAUGGGUGGUAAAUUUCAUCUAAAGCUAAAUAUUGGCCGGAGACCGAUAGCGCACAAGUAGAGUGAUCGAAAGAUGAAAAGCACUUUGAAAAGAGAGUUAAAAAGCACGUGAAAUUGUUGAAAGGGAAGCGCUUGCGACCAGACUCGCUCGCGGGGUUCAGCCGGCAUUCGUGCCGGUGUAUUUUCCCCGCGGGCGGGCCAGCGUCGGUUUGGGCGGUCGGUCAAAGGCCCUCGGAAGGUAACGCCCCUAGGGGCGUCUUAUAGCCGAGGGUGCAAUGCGACCUGCCUAGACCGAGGAACGCGCUUCGGCUCGGACGCUGGCAUAAUGGUCGUAAGCGACCCGUCUUGAAACACGGACCAAGGAGUCUAACAUCUACGCGAGUGUUCGGGUGUCAAACCCGUGCGCGAAGUGAAAGCGAACGGAGGUGGGAACCCUUACGGGUGCACCAUCGACCGAUCCUGAAGUCUUCGGAUGGAUUUGAGUAAGAGCGUAGCUGUUGGGACCCGAAAGAUGGUGAACUAUGCCUGAAUAGGGCGAAGCCAGAGGAAACUCUGGUGGAGGCUCGUAGCGGUUCUGACGUGCAAAUCGAUCGUCGAAAUUUGGGUAUAGGGGCGAAAGACUAAUCGAAACCAUCUGGUAGCUGCUCUGCGGAG
rnacentral:rRNA from 1 species